rnacentral:rRNA from 1 species
UUCGGUGAUUAUAGCGACAGAGUCACACCCGAUCCCAUCUCGAACUCGGAAGUUAAGCCUGCCUGCGCCGAUGGUACUGCACGGGAAACCGUGUGGGAGAGUAGGUCGUUGCCGAAA